AUGACCUCGGAUCAGGUAGGGAUACCCGCUGAACUUAAGCAUAUCAAUAAGCGGAGGAAAAGAAACCAACAGGGAUUACCUCAGUAACGGCGAGUGAAGCGGUAACAGCUCAAAUUUGAAAUCUGGCUCCUCGGGGCCCGAAUUGUAAUUUGUAGAAGAUGCUUUGGGUCUGGGCCUGGCCUAAGUUCCUUGGAACAGGACGUCGUAGAGGGUGAGAAUCCCGUAUGCGGCUGGCGCCCGUGCCCGUGUAAAGCUCUUUCAACGAGUCGAGUUGUUUGGGAAUGCAGCUCUAAAUGGGUGGUAAAUUUCAUCUAAAGCUAAAUAUUGGCCAGAGACCGAUAGCGCACAAGUAGAGUGAUCGAAAGAUGAAAAGCACUUUGGAAAGAGAGUUAAACAGUACGUGAAAUUGUUGAAAGGGAAGCGCUGGCAACCAGACUUGGGCGCUGUUGAUCCGCUAGGGUUCUCUCUAGGGCACUCGGCAGUGCGCAGGCCAGCAUCGGUUUGGGGGGUUGGAGAAUGGCUGGUGGAAUGUGGCUGUCUUUGGGCAGUGUUAUAGCCACCGGUGGCAUGCAGCCUCCCCGGACCGAGGACCGCGCUUCGGCUAGGAUGCUGGCGUAAUGGUUGUCAGCGACCCGUCUUGAAACACGGACCAAGGAGUCUAACAUCUAUGCGAGUGUUUGGGUGUUAAACCCAUACGCGGAAUGAAAGUGAACGUAGGUGAGAACCCGCAAGGGUGCAUCAUCGACCGAUCCUGAUGUCUUCGGAUGG
rnacentral:rRNA from 1 species